rnacentral:lncRNA from 1 species
AAGCAUCCAUGGGAAGCACAUUGCAAACAACCUCAUCCUCAUAUCGGCCAAUGGAGAGUGGAACCGUGACUUGCUCCUUCACAUACUGUUCUCGGACUCAUUAGUGCAACUACCUCCAUCAAUAAUUAAAGAACAAACUUUAUCAGAUAUGAGACAUCUAGAGUGAAAGAGAUUCUCCCUUUGUUCUUUGUCAUUGGAUUUUGGUUGGACACUCAAGGCACGCCUAGUAACCAGUAGUGAACCAUGGCUUGGCUCAUCAAAAACAUCCUCAUCAUAGAUCGGAUCAGAACUCUCCACGAAGGUCGAGCAAAA